ensembl:lncRNA
GGGUGAAACUACGCCUUUACUAAUGCCAUGACUCACCCUUACGAGACAUUCAUACAAGACAGGAAAAGACAAUGGCCUAUGAAAGAUUUCUAAGAGCCUUCUCCAAUACCAAUACUCUGACUGUUCCUCUGAAGACUGUUUAUCCCGAGUGAUGCAUCCUGGAAGAUUUGGAGGCCUGGCGUGCUGCGAUUCAUGGGGUCGCAAAGAGUCGGACACGACUGAGCGACUGAACUGAACUGAACUGAACUGAAGAGAUAAUCCCAGAAUUACUGAUAAAGCAUUAUGUACUCACUGUCAGCAUUCCAUGAAAAUACAUAUGGGAAUUACUAUAAAAGGCAGUGGCACCCAUUUUACAUGGAAACUUCACAGGCUUAAAUGUGAGCACAGCACUUCACUCAGCUCUCAGUCAUUCAAGCAAAUGGACAGUCAUCUUCACUUGCCUGUUGACAGUCUACAACUGAACUUCUGAAUUCCACCCUCCUCCCCAUUGUUUCCUCUCUCAUUAAAUGACAGCUUCUUCUGUACUGUCCACACAGUAGCCACUUGACAAAUGAAGCAAGCAAGCACCUGAAAUGUCACUAUCAGAACUGAGACAUGUUGUGAGUGUAAAAUAUACCUGAUAUUUAAAAGACUUAGUGUG